rnacentral:rRNA from 1 species
UACGGAGGGUGCAAGCGUUAUCCGGAUUCACUGGGUUUAAAGGGUGCGUAGGCGGGUAUGUAAGUCAGUGGUGAAAUCCCCGAGCUUAACUCGGGAACUGCCAUUGAUACUAUAUAUCUUGAAUACUGUGGAGGUUAGCGGAAUAUGUCAUGUAGCGGUGAAAUGCUUAGAUAUGACAUAGAACACCAAUUGCGAAGGCAGCUGGCUACACAAAUAUUGACACUGAUGCACGAAAGCGUGGGGAUCAAACAGG